UAGGGAAUCUUCGGCAAUGGGGGGAACCCUGACCGAGCAACGCCGCGUGAGUGAAGAAGGUUUUCGGAUCGUAAAGCUCUGUUGUUAAGGAAGAACGAGUGUGAGAAUGGAAAGUUCAUGCUGUGACGGUACUUAACCAGAAAGGGACGGCUAACUACGUGCCAGCAGCCGCGGUAAUACGUAGGUCCCGAGCGUUGUCCGGAUUUAUUGGGCGUAAAGCGAGCGCAGGCGGUUAGAUAAGUCUGAAGUGAAAGGCAGUGGCUCAACCAUUGUAGGCUUUGGAAACUGUUUGACUUGAGUGCAGAAGGGGAGAGUGGAAUUCCAUGUGUAGCGGUGAAAUGCGUAGAUAUAUGGAGGAACACCGGUGGCGAAAGCGGCUCUCUGGUAUGUAACUGACGCUGAGGCUCGAAAGCGUGGGGAGCGAACAGG
rnacentral:rRNA from 1 species